GUAGAAGAACAGAUGUUCGCUCCUGAUUAUCAGGGGAGGAAAGUCCGAACUGCUGGGACAGGAAGCCGGGUAACUCCCGGGCAGGGUGACCUGACGGAAAGUGCAACAGAAAAUAUACCGCCUUUUUUAAGGUAAGGGUGAAAUGGUAAGGUAAGAGCUUACCAGCGGCAAAGUGAUUUGUCGGCUUGGCAAACCCCUUCUGCAGCAAGACCAAAUAGGGUGGUGGUUGGUCCCGCCAUAACCACCGGGUUGGUUGCUAAAAUCUUUAUGAAAAUAAUGAUUUAGACUAAUGGACAUCAAAACAGAAUUCGGCUUAUAGUUCUUCUACCGGA
rnacentral:RNase_P_RNA from 1 species